rnacentral:rRNA from 1 species
CACGUAGGGCGCAAGCGUUGUCCGGAAUUAUUGGGCGUAAAGAGCUCGUAGGCGGCCUGUUGCGUCCGCUGUGAAAUCCCGGGGCUCAACCCCGGGCUUGCAGUGGAUACGGGCUGGCUAGAGGCAGGCAGGGGAGAACGGAAUUCCCGGUGUAGCGGUGAAAUGCGCAGAUAUCGGGAGGAACACCGGUGGCGAAGGCGGUUCUCUGGGCCUGUACUGACGCUGAGGAGCGAAAGCGUGGGGAGCGAACAGG